UUACUCCUUUAUGAUUUCCACUUGUGAAACUUUCGGCUUGGUGUUGGUGGUUUUGGAGAGACUGAGACAGUUUGGUGAGCCUAUCUAAUUGGCGACUUGGUUUGGAGAAUUAUGCUAUUUGUCAUCAACUAUUUGUCACAGCGUAAUCAUUCUGAUUAUCUGUUUGCUGGGACAACUUUGUUGGGAGAGGUUUCUGUUAUCGUCUUUUACUCAUCUGUAGUAAGAAGAAGCCAAAAUUGUGUCAUUUCAUAUGGAGUACAUGAUCUUGCAAGUUGGAUGGAAAUUUGUUCCAAUGAUUCAUAAGCUCUUGCAGGCUGUGUUGUAUACUUUUAGCUGUUGCUAGCUUUUAAUUCGGCCAUCUUUACUAAGAAUCUUCACAUUUCAUUAUUUGUUUGAUACUCAGCAUAUACUUUUGUCAGUUCCUUUGAGUUUUCUGUGUGAAGUUACAGGCGAGAUAGCCUAUGACUGUGUAGUUUGCUGUGGAACUCGUGGCAGAAAGAAGUUCAGUUCUCAAACACCCUUAGGAUAAAAACGUUACAUAUCUAAUAUCUUAUUGUUUUGGGAUAUUUGUCCUUUGAUGGAGUGCCCUGCUGGUUUUGGAUUUUUUGUGUUGCUGUUUCAGCAAGAUUCUAGAGUGUACAUUUUCCCUCACCGAGGAUGUGGAAUUAAGGAUAACUUGGUUUGUCAUUUUUUUGUUCUGUUGAUUUGCCACUUCCUUUGUCAAAUUUGUUUCUAUUUUCUUGUCAAUUGUGAUACUUAGGAGUAAGGUUAAGAAUAAUAGUAUUAUCUCUAGGUGUACAUGAAUUCUUCUGGUAUAGGGGUAAAGUCUAAUUUUGCAUUGGAGCACUGGAAUCUACAAUUGGUUAAUGAACUCCUUCUGGUAUAGGGGUAAAGCCUAAUUUUGCAUAGGAGCUCUGGAAUAUACAAUUGGUUGUGUCCUAUAUUAUCACGAUUGCUGUUCUUUCAUUUGGUGAUCUCUACUUUGACUAUGUUAUUUUCUGGUUUCUUAGUCUGUUGAAGACUUGUUUUCUCGAUCUUUUGAGAGCUAUGUGUGGAUGUCACAAGGGGAUGUUGACAGUGAAAGCCAUCGCAUAGAUUAUCAAGGACGUGAUUUUGCUAUGGAGAGAGCCAAAUGUACCAUGGGAUGUGGCAGCUGUUGUAGACAUUAUCAAGGACAUGCCUUUGGAUUUAAUGGGUCAUUUUUCUCCUUGAUUGUGUUUAUUCUGGAAUUCUAGAAUGGGAUAUCGUAUGAUAUUGUAAUGUGGCGAUGUUGAUUUUUGUGUUUUUUACUGUAUUUGUAAGAGAGGUUUUGAAGUGCAUGGACAUCUUUUUCAAGGAUAAUUUAAGACAUGCAUUUAUGUGUUUCGCAGUGAGUUGAAGUUUAGAUAUCUAAAACGUUGAGCCUUGUUGGAGGGAUAAGAAAGGGAAAGCCCUAGAUACAUCAAAUUUCUUCAGUGUCAUUAUAAUUUUUAUUUCUGGAUGUUGAUCGCAAAACAUACAAAUGAAUUGUGAACUUAUUUUUCUGCAGUGUGGUUUGUCCAUAUGAUAACCUUAUUCGAAGUAUCAAGCCUUGAGUUUUGGUUGGGUGAUAUCUAGUAUUAUCUUUUUGUUUCAGUAUUUCCUUAUCGAUUCUGAAAGCAUCUAUUUCUAAUUGUUAUUCCCCUUCUGAUUUUGCAGCGGUGGUAAUAUGUGAAACACACAAUUCCUUCUGGUCCUAUCGUACUGGUUGAUAUAUUCUAUUUUCCCUCUUUUCUCCCUGGUGAUUUUGGUUUCCCGGUUGAGCUUUUAUUCGGAGUUUGUUGUUCUUAUUUUAAUUAUAUCUGCUUAUAUUAUUAUUGAGUUGUUACAUCUUUGUUUGUUUGCUCUUCUAAUUCUUCUUUUACGUCAAUGUCAAUUGUGAUACAUAAGAAUAAUCAAGGUAUGCUCUUAAAAAGGAAGACAAUUGUAAUUCUCAAUAGAAUGGAUACGACGGAGAACUGCUCCAGAUAUAAUAAUCAAAUUUCUUCAGUUAGUCGUUCUUCAUUUUUUAAUUUCAGGCUUUGAUCAGAAGAAAAAAGAAAAUAAUUGUGAGAAUAUUUUUCUGCAUCGCGAUUUGUCAAACUAAUAAUGUUCUACAUGGAGUGUGCUUUGAUGUUUGAUUUGGUAAUCUCUAGUAAAUUCUUUUCGUUUUCAAUAAUUCUCUAUCAAUCAAUUCUAAAAGCGUAUUUUGGUUGAAUUGUUGUUUCCUUUUUGGUGUUGCAGGAUAUUUAAAUCUAUGAACAUGUUAUUCCUUUUGUUUCUAUCUUGGUUUUGUAUGAUCUUUCAUGUAUUGUAUUUUGAUUAUUUUUUGUUUUCUUGAUUCUGAGUUUUGAUUUGGCUCUGGAUUUCAUCGCAGUUCACGUGGAAUUGAAAUAUGAACUUUGUUUUUGCAGUAUAGUUUGUUUCGACACAUUAACAUUAUGUGUAGAGUACCAAGCUUCAGUUUUAAUUUGGUACCCUAUACUAUAUUAUUAUAAAUUAUGUCCAUUUCAUUUCUUCUCGGUCAAUUCCUAUCAAGCAGACCAGUUUUCUCAAUUUACUCUCUUAUGAUUUCCACUGUUUCCGGUCAGAUGAGUCUAUUGGUGUGUGUGGUAAGAGUUGGUUGGUAUAAUUGAAAAGUUGAGCCUUAGGGGUUUUCUUAGUUCUUAUCAUUAAGACUUCUUUUUUCUUACAAAUGUUUGUUCUAAAUUUGGGUUUUGGAUUUGUAUUCUUACAGUGCAAAAGUUUACAUGAUUCUGGAAAAUUUGUUGCAUAUCAUCAGAACAAAGAGAUAGCGCCUAUGAUUGUGUGGUUUGUUAUGGAAACCGUGGCAUGAAGAAGUUCAGUUCACAUACCCUUCGGUAAAAACAAUAAUUUUUUUCUUUACGUGUCUAAUAUCUUAUUGUUUAGGGAUAUUUGUCCUUUGAUGGAGUGCCCUGCUGGUGUUGGAUUUUUUGUGUUUCUGUUUCAGCAAGAUUAUGUAGUGUUUGAAGCAUACAAGAUUUUAGAACUAGAUCAAACAACGUAGCUGUCAAAUUUUGGGUUGGAGGACUAGAAUCUACAAUUGACUGUUAUAUUAUCAAAGUCGUUGUUCUUUCAUUUGGUUGUCUACUUUUGACUAAAUUGUUCACGUUUUUGUCUUUUUAUCAUCAUGUGUUGGUAUCACGAGGAGGAUGUAGAGUGAAAGCCAUGGCAUAGAUUAUCAAAAGCGAGCCUAUUAAUGUAUCAUUGGAUGUGAAAGCUGUUGCGGACAUUUUAAGGACAUGUUUUGAGCCUUUGGAUUUAGUGGGUGAUUUUUCUCCUUGAAUUUAUUAAUUCUGGAAUGGGUAUCCUGAUAUUUUCAUUUGGCAAUACUGAUUAAUGUGUUUUUUAUUAAAAGUUUAAGGAGGGCUUCAGUAUAUAUGAUUCUGAAAUACACGUACAUUUCUUUCAAAAGAUAAUUUGAGACAUGCGUUUAUCUGUUUACAGUAAGAAUUGAAACUUAGUUCAUCUAGAGCCUUUUUUCAUACUUAAUGCAUGGAUUAAUUACAGACUUUGAUGGUAAGGCGUACUAAUGAAUCGUUAACUUAAUUAUGUGCAGCUUGGUGUAUGAAAAUUACAUGUACAUUUCUUUCAAAAGAUAAUUUGAGACAUGCGUUCAUCUGUUUACGCUUGGUGUAUGAAAAUUACAUGUACAUUUCUUUCAAAAGAUAAUUUGAGACAUGCGUUCAUCUGUUUACACUUGGUGUAUGAAAAUUACAUGUACAUUUCUUUCAAAAGAUGAUUUGAGACAUGCGUUCAUCUGUUUACGUUUGGUGUAUGAAAAUGACAUCGUUCUUCAUAGCAUCGAGGCUUCAGUUUUGAUUUUGUGAUCCCUACUAUAUUCUUUUGGUUUCAGUAUUUCCGUAUUAAUUCAGAGAGAAUUUUUUUCUAAUUGUAAUUUCCCUGUUUGGUGUUGCUGGAGAAGUAAAACACAAUUUCUUCUGGUUCUAUCUUACUGUUUGAUCUUUAUUAUUUUCACUAUUUUCUCCUUGGUUAUUUUGGUUUCCUGAAUGAGGUUUUAUUUAUGUUCUUGCUGGUUUUGCGCUUGAAGUUUGCUUUUAUUACUAUGAUUAUUGUAUUUGCUGUUAUUAUUGAGUUUUUAGUGCUUUGAUUGUUUGCUCUUCCAAUUCUUCUUUGAUGUCAAUUUUUUGAAUUUGAAUUUUUUUCUUCGUUUGAUUGUUUAUAUAGUUUUUGGAUAUAAUUAUGCAUUCGAAAAUCGAGACAUUUUUCAGCUAGCUGAUUCCUCGAUAUCUACAAUGUUUUGUGAUUCUCAAUACUACAGUUAAGACGGAGAAUGGCUCCAGAUAGAAAAUCAAACUUCUAAAAUUAGUCGUUCUUCAAUUAUUUUUAAUUUUGCUUUGAUCAGUAGAAAUAAGAAUAUGACUGUGCGCAUGUUUUUUGCAUCCUGGUUUGUCAAUUUGAUAAAUUUCUUUUUGGAGUGGAGGCUUCAUUUUUUAUUUGGUAAUCUCUAGCAUAUGCUUUUUGUUUUCAAUAACUCUUUGGUGUUGCAAGCUAAGUUAUCUAUGAACAUGUGAUUCCUUUUGGUUCUAUCUUCCUCUUGUUUGAUCUUUUAUGUUCUGUAUUCUGAUUAUUUUCUGGUUUCUUUACUCUAUUAUGAUUUUCACUAUUUCAGGUAAGAUAAGUCUUUGGGUGUAUGGUAAGAGUUUGUAGUUAUAAUUGAAAAGUUGAGUUUUAAAGGUUGUCUUACCAUUAAUACUACUUUUUGCAUACAAAUGUUUGUUCUACAUUUGGGUUUUUGAUUGUAUUAUGACAGUGCAAAAGCUUACACAGUUAUGGAAAAAUUGGGAUGACUUGGUGAGCCUGUCAUCUUUUUUCUUGUUUUUUUGUGCAUCUAUUUGUCACAACAUAUUUCCUCCGUACAUGUAUCAUUUUGGUGUUACGUGGGUUUGAUGUGAAAUAUUUUCCUUCUUUGUCACUCACCAACUUUUUAGUUCUCCCUUUGAUGUAGAGAAAUUGGAGAUGAGUUCCUUUCUGCUUUGUACAAUAAUGUCAUGAUGGCCGUUCAUAUAUUUCCUAGGCUUUAAUUGUGGCAACUACACUUCUUGAUUCCUUUACGAAAGAUUAGCCGAUUUUGAUCUUAAGGAUAUGGACUGCGACAUCUGUGGCGUUAGUAUCAAGUUCAAUCGGAUAUAACUUUGAAUGUAAUAUGGGAUGUGAAGGCAUUGGCUGACAUACAUUAUCAAGGAUGUGAAGCCUUUAGGAUAAAACUUGUCAUUGUAUCAAAAUGUAAUUUUUAUUGAAUUAAAUAGUUGUGCUUAUAUGAUGUGGUGUUGGUAAUAUUUAAUUUUUUGUUUAUCAAGAUAAGAAAUGUUUUUGUAUUUAUGAUUCUUCCAAACAUUGGGUAGGAUAUCGAUUUUGGAGUAUAGUUCUUAGCUUUGGACA